UUUUUUUUUCUUUUCUUCUUAUUUCAUUAAUCGACCAAACACAUAUGAAUUAGCCUUAUGUAAAGUCUAACUCAGAAACCCUACUCUCGUUUCAGACUUUUCUUCUUCGUGUAUCUCUCUCCGGCCGGGGCCAACUGAUUCCAAUCAUCCAAACGCCAGUUGAAUGCUAAAACCCAAUCGAAGGAAUAACAAUUCGAUUCUAAAAAAGGUCUUUCGAUGGGGAACAAAAUCGCUCGAACGGCGCAAGUCUCGGCGACGGAGUACUACCUGCACGACUUGCCUUCCUCUUACAAUCUCGUCCUCAAGGAGGUUCUAGGCCGAGGAAGAUUCUUCAAGUCGAUCCUCUGUAAGCACUAUACAAAGGGUUGGUCCUCGUCGAGGUCUAUUUCAAGCGCGGCGACUCAGUCAAUCUCAGGGAGUACUAGCGUCGUCUCGUGAAGAUGAAGGAUAUGUUUUUAUCACUUGAAUCUCCUCACGUCUGGCCUUUCUAGUUUUGACAAGAGACUGAUAAAGCGGCUUAUCUAGUGAGGCAGUACUUCUUGAGUAACCUGCAUGAUCGGUUAAGUACUAGGCCUUUCCUCAGUCUUGCGGAGAAGAAAUGGUUGGCGUUUCAGGCCUUCUUCUCGGUCUUGUCCUCAGGGCUGGGUUGCUGACCUUGUUUAAGAAGAAGCUUUCAUGUCUGCUCGAAUUUUGAUGUAGUGCCGGAUCUUGAGACUAUGAACUUCAUAGUUCUAAGCAGGACAGAUAGAUAGAUACAAGAUCAGAGAAGUCGAGGUUGUUGUUCUUUCAUUCUCACUCACUCACAUUCACUGUUUUAAAAACAUGUUCUCUGUUUUUUAAAGCUGUGAACUUUUUAAUGUUCUGAAACAGCCUUAAUGUUCUCUGUUUCUUAAAGCUGUGAACUUUGAAUGUUCUGAAACAGCCUUAUUAUGUGGCCGAGACUACUAUGCCAGGGGGAACUGGAACACUUAUCAGUUUUCAGGUGAGGUUGCUGUGACAUGAUAGUAUUUUUUGUUCUGAAUUUAUCUUUGUUCUUUAUAGAGGAGUUGUUGUGGCAGAAGAUGAUUCAAGGUUGAAGGGUCGAGGCCAUCGUUCCAGCUUUCUUACUUGCUCUUGAUUCCCUGAACUCUAAAGGCGAGUUGCCUUUUUCUUUCACUUAUUCUUUUUAUUGUAUGUCGUUUAUAUAUGUGCUAGAGACUUGUGCUUUGUGGUUCUGUUUCUAGGUUAGACGAGAUUGGCUUUUACUUCAAUAUUAGGUACUUUAAAACACUGUAACAGUUGGUGAAUUUGGACGAUGUUGAUGAGAAAGUGGUGGUCGUGAGCAAAGAGGAGGUGGCCAUGAAGAUAGGUUUAGAUUUUUUUUUUGUUUAGUGUAAACAAUUUUUUUGGUUAGUUUGUUAAACUGUUAUGGUUUUGUAAACAAUUUCAGAUUUAUAAAAAUAAAAUAUGUUUAUUUUUA